UGGGGAAUUUUGGACAAUGGGCGAAAGCCUGAUCCAGCAAUGCCGCGUGUGUGAAGAAGGCCUUCGGGUUGUAAAGCACUUUUGUCCGGAAAGAAAUCCUCUGGGUUAAUACCUCGGGGGGAUGACGGUACCGGAAGAAUAAGCACCGGCUAACUACGUGCCAGCAGCCGCGGUAAUACGUAGGGUGCAAGCGUUAAUCGGAAUUACUGGGCGUAAAGCGUGCGCAGGCGGUUUUGUAAGACGGAUGUGAAAUCCCCGGGCUUAACCUGGGAACUGCAUUCGUGACUGCAAGGCUAGAGUAUGGCAGAGGGGGGUUAGAAUUCCACGUGUAGCAGUGAAAUGCGUAGAGAUGUGGAGGAAUACCGAUGGCGAAGGCAGCCCCCUGGGCCAAUACUGACGCUCAUGCACGAAAGCGUGGGGAGCAAACAGGAUUAGAUACCCUGGUAGUCCACGCCCUAAACGAUGUCAACUAGUUGUUGGGGAUUCAUUUCCUUAGUAACGUAGCUAACGCGUGAAGUUGACCGCCUGGGGAAGUACGGUCGCAAGAUUAAAACUUAAAUGAAUU
rnacentral:rRNA from 1 species